rnacentral:rRNA from 1 species
GAGUUUGAUCCUGGCUCAGGAUGAACGCUAGCGGCAGGCCUAACACAUGCAAGUCGAGGGGUAACAGAUGAAGAGCUUGCUCAGAUUGCUGACGACCGGCGCACGGGUGAGUAACACGUAUGCAACCUACCUUUUACAGAGGGAUAGCCCAGAGAAAUUUGGAUUAAUACCUCAUAAUAUUUUUAACUCGCAUGAGUUUUAAAUUAAAACUUCGGUGGUAAAAGAUGGGCAUGCGUUCUAUUAGUUUGUUGGUGAGGUAACGGCUUACCAAGACUACGAUAGAUAGGGGUUCUGAGAGGAUAGUCCCCCACACUGGUACUGAGACACGGACCAGACUCCUACGGGAGGCAGCAGUGAGGAAUAUUGGUCAAUGGUCGAAAGACUGAACCAGCCAUGUCGCGUGAAGGAUGACGGCCCUAUGGGUUGUAAACUUCUUUUGUAUGGGAAGAAAAGCAGUUACGUGUAACUGUCUGCCGGUACCAUACGAAUAAGGAUCGGCUAACUCCGUGCCAGCAGCCGCGGUAAUACGGAGGAUCCAAGCGUUAUCCGGAUUUAUUGGGUUUAAAGGGUGCGUAGGCGGCUCUAUAAGUCAGUAGUGAAAUCUCGAAGCUCAACUUCGAACGUGCUAUUGAAACUGUAGAGCUUGAGUACAGACGAGGCAGGCGGAAUGUGUUGUGUAGCGGUGAAAUGCUUAGAUAUAACACAGAACACCGAUAGCGAAGGCAGCUUGCCAGACUGUAACUGACGCUGAGGCACGAAAGCGUGGGGAGCGAACAGGAUUAGAUACCCUGGUAGUCCACGCCGUAAACGAUGAUUACUCGUUGUGCACAAUACAUCGUGCGUGACUGAGCGAAAGCAUUAAGUAAUCCACCUGGGGAGUACGUUCGCAAGAAUGAAACUCAAAGGAAUGACGG